AUCCAUCCAUCCAUCCAUUUGAUAGCGCUCGUCAUAUAGAUUGUGGAACCCUUUCCACCCAAAACCCCCCUCUCUUGCCUUCCUUUCCUCUUCUCCCACUCGUCGAGUCGCUCUCCUCCUUGUCGAUGGCGUCCGAGGCGAGCGGCGAGCCAUUCUUGGCCGAAGCAAAGGGAGCCCCGAUGAGGAGCGAGCCCGACGAAGACGCAGGAGGGGACGGGGCUCCCCGUGCCGCGGUGGAGCCGGAAAAGGAGAGCAGCGAUGCCUCGCCCCCCGCCUCGGCCGCGGCCGGAGACACCUUGACGACCACCUCCUCGAUUCCUGUAGCACAGGACACUCCGGACGACGACCCCGACGAGGAGGCGUUCCAGGAGGCGCUGGAAGAUGGGGACGACGAUGGCGUUGAUGGGUUGUCAGAUGCCGCCAAAUCUUCAGGCUCGACGGAUGAUGUUGAACUCAUGGAAGGAGAGGAAAAAGGUGAGCCCCCGUCGGAGACUCAGGUUUUUGCCACCGUCCAAGACAACUCCCAACAUGAGAUCGUGGAAAUGGUGUCAAGUGAAAACCCUAGGACAGAGGAGACUUCACAUGGUGAGGUUUUGGCGGCUGUGGUGAAAGAGUCGGUGGAGAAUUCCACUUCGCAAAGCACCGAAACGAAGCCAAUCGAGGAUGGUGCUGCCGUGGCUGGAGGUGUGGAUGGCGACGAGGAGGUCGGACUCCACGAUGCCCGAGAGGGGAGUGAUGAGGACUUGGUCGAGGAAUCGGGAGAGUCUGCUGUCCCUACUAUUGAUGCUGUUGAGGAAGAGAGACAUGGAGCCGAACCUGAUGUUGUGGAUGAGGUGAAAAUUGGUGUUGCUUUAGCCACAGUUUCCGAUCAAAAUGUCUACCCUGCUUGUAUACCUGCCACAGAGGAGAUGGAGACAGUAGAGAAUCCCACUUUGCGCAUCGAAUCAAACCCAGUCGAGGAUGAGACUUCUGCAGCUGGAAAUGUGGAUAGGAAUGUGGAACAAGCAGAGCCUGAUGAUCAGGGAAAAGAUGGAAGCUUGGUUGAUAAUUUGGGAGAACCUGCUACGCCUGUUGUCAAUGUGUUACUGGAGUCAAAGACAGCAAAAGACGAAUUUGAUACUUCUGAAGAAGGGACAGGCGGAGGCAAAGCUGAUACGGACGAGUUUGGAUCUGUCUUAAGUAAUUCUUCUAUCCAGGAGACAGUGGAUGAGACGCUAACAAAAAAAUCAGAUCAAGCUGCAAAUGAAUCUGAGGCAAACAAUGAUGAGCCUGUGCCUGAGUUGGUUCCAGAAGGGGAAAAUUCAAUAUCAGUUCAAGAUAGGCAAUCUCCAUCUAUCACUGCUGGGGAAUCAAGAAACAGGGUGACCGAAAGAGAUGAGUUUGGGGCUUCUGGUGCCAAUGAAGAUGGAACUGCUCGAUUACCAACUUCAGUGACAGAACCAGAACCAACACCGUGUGAAGAUUUGACCGAUCAUGUGCAAGACCUUGACCAGGAGAAGGCAGAGGAUGAAGACGAAAACUUAGUUUCUGAUGGACCACCUAGGGUGGCAAUAUUGGCGAGCUCAGAAACUGCAAAACAGCUGAUAAAUGAAUUAGAAGAUGGCUCUUCUAGUGUCACCCCUCAUUCAGCAUUAGAUGGCUCAAAGGAUGUAGAUGGCCAGAUUAUUUUGGAUUCAGAUGAAGAGUUAAUGACUGACGAGGAGGACGGAGGAAAUGAAAUGAUUGAUUCUGACGCAUUGGUUGCACUUCUGAAAGCGGCAAGCAGUUCCACUGCUGAUGGAGGUAUCAGUGUCACUUCUCAAGAUGCUAAUAGAAUCUUCUUGGUCGACCGUCCAGCUGGUUUGGGGUCCUCAAUUCCAUCUCUGAAACCUGCUCCUCGUCCUGCAAGAUCAAACCUUCUUAGUCCUUCUGAACUGGCUGUAGCAGCAGAGCCUGAUAAUCAGAUGACUGAGGAACAAAAAAAGUUGCAUGAGAAAGUUGAGCUUAUUAGGGUGAAGUUUCUACGUCUUGUUCAUAGGUUGGGCCAUUCACCUGAAGACACGGUGGUAGCCCAGGUGCUAUAUCGUCUGAGUCUUGCUGAAGGUAUUCGUAGUGGAAGGCAAACCAGCAGGGCUUAUAGUCUUGAGAGUGCAAAAAUGAAGGCUUUGCUGCUAGAACAGGAUGGAAAUGCAGAUUUGGAUUUUUCCUGUAACAUUCUAGUCCUUGGAAAGAGCGGAGUGGGCAAGAGUGCAACUAUAAAUUCUAUAUUUGGUGAAGAGAAGUCUCCAACCAAUGCAUUCAAACAAGAAACAACUUCUGUCAAAGAGAUUGUAGGAACCGUUGAGGGGGUUAAGAUUCGGGUUUUAGAUACUCCAGGUCUUAGAGCUUCAGGAAUGGACCAAGCAUCAAGUAGGAGAAUCUUGGCAUCUAUAAAGAAAUACACGAAGAGAUGCCCUCCAGACAUUGUUUUGUAUGUGGACCGAAUGGACACACUGACCCGAGAUCAGAAUGAUUUGCCUCUGCUAAGAACAAUUACAAGCACUUUGGGUUCAUCCAUAUGGUUCAACGCCAUUGUUGCUCUCACACAUGCUGCAUCUGCUCCUCCGGAUGGACCAAGUGGUUCCCCUUUGAGCUAUGAGGUGUUUGUGGCUCAAAGGUCUCAUGCUGUUCAGCAGUCCAUAAGGCUAGCAGCUGGAGACAUGCGUCUGAUGAAUCCAGUGGCUCUUGUUGAGAACCAUCCAUCUUGUAGAAGGAACAGAGAGGGACAAAAAGUGCUCCCUAAUGGUCUAUCAUGGAGGCCACAGAUGCUGCUGCUCUGUUACUCUUCAAAGAUAUUAUCUGAAGCUAAUUCACUUCUAAAGCUUCAAGAUCCAUCUCCUGGAAAACUGUUUGGUCUCCGUUUACGUCCCCCACCGCUUCCCUUCCUGCUUUCUUCUCUGUUGCAGUCCAGAGCACACCCAAAACUUCCAUCCGAUCAACAUGGUGACAAUGAAGAUUCUGAUAUUGACCUAGAUGACUUAUCAGAUGCUGAUCAAGGGGAACAAGAAGAUGAGUAUGAUCAGCUUCCACCAUUUAAGCCCCUGAGGAAGUCUCAAAUUGCCAAGCUGACCAAGGAGCAAAGAAGAGCAUAUUUUGAUGAGUAUGAUUACCGAGUUAAGCUUCUUCAAAAAAAACAGUGGAAGGAGGAGCUCAGACGAUUGAAAGAGAUGAAGAAUAGACAGAAAGGGUUUGAGGAUGAUUUUGGGCAUGCUGAUAUGGUUGAAGAUUUUGAUCAGGAUAAUUCCCCUGCAACCAUACCUGUCCCUUUGCCUGAUAUGGUAUUGCCACCUUCUUUUGACUGUGAUACCCCAACGUAUCGAUACCGUUUUCUAGAGCCAACCUCACAGUUUCUUGCUAGGCCAGUACUGGAUACGCAUGGUUGGGAUCAUGAUUGUGGUUAUGAUGGGGUAAGCCUUGAAGAGAGCCUCGCUGUUGCUGGCCGAUUUCCUGCUGUCUUAUCAGCUCAAGUGACUAAGGACAAAAAGGAAUUCAGCAUCCAUUUAGAUUCCUCCGUCUCGGCCAAGCAUGGGGAAAAUGGUUCUACUCUCGCUGGCUUUGAUAUCCAGGCUGUUGGAAAGCAACUUGCUUACAUUCUGCGGGGUGAGACCAAGUCCAAGAUAUUGAAAAAGAACAGGACUACUGGAGGGAUCUCCGUAACUUUCUUGGGGGAAACCAUAGCUACUGGAUUAAAGUUUGAAGACCAACUUUCUAUUGGGAAGCAAGUGAAUCUUGUUGCAAGCACUGGUGCUGUUCGAGCACAAGGUUAUACUGCAUAUGGAGCCAAUUUGGAGGUGCGACUCCGAGAUAAGGAUUAUCCCAUAAGCCAAGCCCUUGCCACCUUGGGGUUAUCUUUGAUGAGUUGGCAUGGUGAUUUGGCUUUGGGUGCAAACCUGCAGUCUCAAUUCUCCAUUGGGAGGAAUUCAAAGAUGGCAGUUCGCGUUGGGCUGAACAACAAGCGGACUGGGCAGAUCACUGUCAGGACGAGCACCUCUGAACAACUUCAACUUGCACUCGUGGGUAUCAUACCCAUUGCAAUCUCUAUCUUCCGGAGCAUGAAGCCCGCAGGUCAGUUUGUUUCCGAGACGUGAAGCCUAAACCAACCUUUUUUGCUUAGUUCAGUUUUUCGUGUAGCUCGCGAACAGCAACGGUGUGUUGGUUGGUUAAAAAACGGACUGUUUUGUGUUGGAGGCUUAUGAUUGAUUGUAUGUCAGUCUGGGCUAGCUGUGGAGUUGAAUUCCUGGGUCUCUGUUAUCAUCUAACCGGUGGAGCUUGGUACUUUUUUUUUUUUUUCUAAGAGGAAAACUCUCUACUUUUCAAGUUCUUAUUUCGGCAGUGUCUUUUCUCUUUUCCGAAUAAGUGCUGGACAUUUUAGAUUUAUAUCCGAAAAGAGUUGUUUAGUCAUUCUGGUAUUUGUAUCUGUUUUGGCCCAUGUUUUGACAUAUUCGGAUAAUGCACAACACCCAUUUUGAUGAACAA